UACGUAGGGCGCAAGCGUUUGUCCGGAAUUAUUGGGCGUAAAGAGCUCGUAGGCGGCUCGUCGCGUCGACCGUGAAAACCCGCGGCUUAACUGCGGGCUUGCGGUUGAUACGGGCGGGCUAGAGUUCGGUAGGGGAGACUGGAAUUCCUGGUGUAGCGGUGAAAUGCGCAGAUAUCAGGAGGAACACCGGUGGCGAAGGCGGGUCUCUGGGCCGAUACUGACGCUGAGGACGAAAGCGUGGGGAGCAAACAGG
rnacentral:rRNA from 1 species